AAAGUUAUGGAAACUGUUAGUGGAAGAUGUACUUCAGCAUUUCCUGUACACAUUGGAAUAUAAUUCUGUAACUCACAUGUGUACUACUUGUGGUGUUAGCAAAGUCUCUCUUCUCAGGGAAUUCUGUAACAAAACAGGAGUACAGAUUACAUUGAAGGAUUACAAAUUU